rnacentral:piRNA from 1 species
UUUGUUCUGUGAAGUUCUGUU